rnacentral:rRNA from 1 species
GACGGAGGAUGCAAGUGUUAUCCGGAAUCACUGGGCGUAAAGCGUCUGUAGGUGGUUUAAUAAGUCAACUGUUAAAUCUUGAGGCUCAACCUCAAAAUCGCAGUCGAAACUAUUAGGCUAGAGUAUAGUAGGGGUAAAGGGAAUUUCCAGUGGAGGGGUGAAAUGCGUAGAGGUUGGAAAGAACGCCGAUGGCGAAUGCACGUUACUGGGGUAUGACUAACACUCAGAGACGAAAGGUAGGGUAGCAAAUGGG